AGUGAACGCUGGCGGUAGGCCUAACACAUGCAAGUCGAACGGCAGCACAGUAAGAGCUUGCUCUUACGGGUGGCGAGUGGCGGACGGGUGAGGAAUACAUCGGAAUCUACUUUUUCGUGGGGGAUAACGUAGGGAAACUUACGCUAAUACCGCAUACGACCUACGGGUGAAAGCAGGGGAUCUUCGGACCUUGCGCGAUUGAAUGAGCCGAUGUCGGAUUAGCUAGUUGGCGGGGUAAAGGCCCACCAAGGCGACAAUCCGUAGCUGGUCUGAGAGGAUGAUCAGCCACACUGGGACUGAGACACGGUCCAGACUCCUACGGGAGGCAGCAGUGGGGAAUAUUGGACAAUGGGCGCAAGCCUGAUCCAGCCAUACCGCGUGGGUGAAGAAGGCCUUCGGGUUGUAAAGCCCUUUUGUUGGGAAAGAAAAGCAGCAGGUUAAUACCCCGCUGUUCUGACGGUACCCAAAGAAUAAGCACCGGCUAACUUCGUG
rnacentral:rRNA from 1 species